GUCAUCUUCACAAUGUUUUAAAGCACAAGAAAUCACAGCAAGAACUAUUAGCUCCAUCUUCGAAUAUAUUUGAAUUUUGAAAUACGGUUUUAAAAUUCACACAAUCGCCGCAUUCAUUCUUCUCUCUAACAAAAUUCAUAUCCUCUUCUACCUAAAAACCCUACUCAGAUCUAGCAAUGGGUUCUACUCCUACCCAAAACCAUAACAUCAUCUCCUCUAUUAGAUACCAGAUCUAGCGAUGGGGUUUCUUUCCUACCCAAAACCCUAACAUCAUCUCCUCUAUCAGAUGAACGAUUGCGUUCCAGAAAAUCACUAAUGUUCCAGAUGCUUGAGUCACUUCGCAUCAUGAGAGGAUCAGGAUACACUAAACGUGUAUAGUUUGUAUUGAUCUAUAUUUCGUGUGUCAGGUGAUUUGUGUUUACAGGUUAAUUUGCCAUCUGGUACAACUAUACUGAUUGUUAAAAUGAGACGAUACAAAGGGAAAAGUGAAGACAUCAAAAUAGUGGAAAAAGAGGACCUUGAUCUUAAAAGUCAGUAUAUAAUGAUUCUUUUUAUAAUUCAUUCUAUGACAUGAUUUUGUUCAUAAGUUUGCAGGAAGAGCAAAUUCAAGAUUUUAUAGAUUGUAAGGCAUAUUAAUUAGUAUUGCUCAAUACUGUUUUUGUUUUUGCAAAUUUUCAUAAGUUUUGAUAUGGAAUGUCAAUUUACAGGCUCAUUGCAAAAAUAUUUCUCCUACUUAUGAACUUGUUUGUUAGCCACAACUUUAACCUACCGAAGGAGGUUCUGAUUCAACGGAGACAUAUUAACUUCACUAAUAAAUCAUUUAUUAAUCUCACAAAAGAAUUAUUUGUGAUUCUUACUUUUGUUGGACCUUAGACUACACGGUAUUGGGGCUUAGAACUGGCAUGUAAGCCCCUCCACACCUGGAACAUCGCCCCGUGGAGUGGUAGUGGGGGUAGGGGCAUGGACUAUUUACAAGCGUGGGGUGGAUGGGUUAUAGUGAUGUGGCGGCAUGUGGUUGGUUGUUGUUGUUUGAGAGGUUUGUUGAUUGGCUGUUGCUUAGUUUUAUAUAUAUAUAUAUAUAUAUAUAUAUAUAUAUAUA